rnacentral:rRNA from 1 species
GACGGAGGGUGCAAGCGUUGUUCGGAUUGACUGGGCGUAAAGGGCAUGUAGGCGGUCGGCCAAGUCUGAUGUGAAAGCCCGAGGCUCAGCCUCGGAAGUGCGUCGGAAACUAGUCGGCUGGAGCGCGAUAGAGGAGGGUGGAAUUCCUGGUGUAGCGGUGAAAUGCGUAGAUAUCAGGAGGAACACCGGCGGCGAAGGCGGCCCUCUGGAUCGUUGCUGACGCUGAGACGCGAAAGCGUGGGGAGCGAACAGG